rnacentral:lncRNA from 1 species
AUAAUUCACUUUUGAAACCAAUAUUUGAUCAAACCUUAUUAUAUGAUCAAGCACCAUACCCAAUCGACUUCUCCUUGUGUCAAAAUCAUGUGAAACUGCUGAAGAAAAGACACACCAAAAAUUCAAGCGAAAACACUAACAAUUAUAAAUGGAGACAAUGGACCAACAUCACUAUUACACCUUAAAAAUAUAUUAUAAUCAUGUUCAUUAAAAUUCCUUUGAAAGGGAUAGAAAAACUGAUACGGCUUCAAAUUGGAGAAGAUGGAAAUUAAAUUGAUACAACUUCACCACAAUAACGCAAAGAUAUUCUUCAGCAAUAUGCCUCCUAAAUUCAACAAACCAACUAUCCAUCAGAACCCCAACUACAAUUCUCCUAAAGGCCUCUAACAGAUAAAGGUAUAAAACCUAUUCCAACAUUCAAAUGAUAAUAUCAAAAAACCAACUGGCAAUCCGAGAGAACGUAAAGGAAAGGAGAUUCUGAUCAGAAAUUCAAUCCACCAAUUAUGAUGAUAUCAAAUUCAAUCGAGCAAGAGAAAAAUGAAAUAUAACAUCACUCCACCAAUUAAAGCCAUUUUUCUUGACUAAAUUAAAUAAAUAGCGCGUGAAAAUCAUACAUAUAUAUUUCGAGAAAAUUCAAUCAAGCUAUAGAAAAAUGAGAUAUAUCAUCAAUCUACCGACAAAAGGGCUUUUUUUGCUGAAUGAAUACACAUAGCGCAUGAAAAACAUCGAGAAAAUUCAAUCGAGGCAGAGAAAAAUGAGAUAUAACAUCAAUCUCCCGACUAAAAGCAAUUUGUUUUGGCUGACGGAAUAAAGAAACAGCGCAGGAAAAACAUACGUAUGACUCGGAUCUCAGUUUUCAAAAAAUACUUUUGCAAAUCUCCCCGAGUUCCUUCAAAAAAAUCCAAAUUUAAUUAGUACUAUAAUCAGAUAUUUAAGAAUUUGCUAAAUAUUAUCAAAUUACACACAAAUUGUGCAGUCUUUCUAGCAUUAUUCAUCAAAAUAAAAAUAUCACAAGAAGUGUAAAAGAAUAGAUAAACAUCCAGAUGCAUAUUACCUCCUUUCCAAUUAUAUGAUCGAUGAUUAUGUGUAAUGGCUCAAGACCUUUUCGGAAAAAGAUCAUAGAAUUGCUCGAGCCUGGUAAUCAAUAAAAUAGAAAAGAAAAUAGAAGUAAAAAUUCAAGUCUGCUUAAUAAGAAAUAGAAAAAAAAAUAUAGGAAUAUAGGGAGAAGGAAACUUGUUGGGUUCGCUCUUGCGUUUGGAGGCGGCGUGAGGCCAUAGGCCAGCCCGAGUUUUGGGCAACGUUUGUUCGAGGCGGCGCCACGGCAAAGGCAAUUGUUGCGUCUUCAUCAGAGUUUGAUUAACAAAUGACGGCCGAAUCUCCGUCAGAGGACGACUCGCUCAAAGUUCUAAGAUCUCUCUUUUUUGCAAUUAGGUUGCUCCAGCAUGUAGAAAGCGUGAAUUUUAAUGGGAGAGAGAGAAUAGAAUAAAGUGUAGUGGGAUGAUAAAAUUGACAACAGGGUGUAUGUGGCAGAAAAGUAGGGAACCACUGGAUUUGCCCGGAAAGAUAAACUGUAGAAAACUGUGUUUUUUAUACAUUAAUGGGUGAAUGUGGGUUAGUGGGUGAUGAUAUAGUCACUGCCGUUAAGUAUAAGGAAUAUUCUGUUAGAAAAAUAAUGCUAAAUUGGAUGUCGUUAAACUGAUCUUUUAUAUAAUAUAUAGAU